UCAGGACGCGAGGGAAGCACUACAGGAAGGAAGCAGCCAGACCUCCGAGGGCUUAGGAAGCCCCUGAAGGUCCAUGAGGAAGGGACAGAGUGUGGUCUAAUUUCUAAAGGAUCCCUGUGGCUGCCCUGUGGGAAACUGGCUAGAGGAGACCAGCGUGGAACCAAGGAGACCCCGUCUCUGUCUCUGUCUCCCUGCUGCAGAGCCCACCUGCUGAGGACCCCCAGGGAGUGACAUACGCCCAGGUGAAGCACUCAGCACCCAGGAGGAGAGGGGCCUCCCCUCCUCCGGCCCUGUUGGGGCGGCUCCUGGACACCAAGGAUGGACAGGCAGGGGAGGACAGGCAGAUGGACACUCAGAUUGCUGCCCCUGAAGGUCCCCAGGACGUGACUUAUUCCCACCUGUGCAGCUGGAAGGUGAGACAACAGGCAGCUGCACCUCCUUCCCCCCAGAACAGGACCUUCCCGGCAGAGCCCACUGUGUACGCUGCCCUGGCGUCCACUCAUGCAGGAGAUCUCCCAAAGAAUACUAAGUGACGCGUUGGCCGGGGACACCCAACAGAGACUCCAGAGAUUCCGGGACCUUCUAAGACUCACCUGACUGCGGUCAGAGAGAGCUCACACCUCUGUGUGCUGGAAAUAAAACCAGAGGUUCUCCAAUACCCACCGAGUGAAUGAGAAAUGGACUCGUGGGAGAGGAUGUGUGAAGUGACUGAUAAUGUUAAUGACAGCAGACACAAGGCAGGUAGGAAAUGAGAAAAUGAAUCACCAUGGAUGAAUAUAUCAGCAAACACUCUGUAAAAAUCUUUGAAUAAAGAUAUCAAACAAAAAUUUUAAAAA